UCCCAAAUAGUCUAGGCGAUUAGGAUAUCUGUGGCUUUCACCCACGCGACCCGGGUUCGAGUCCCGGUUUGGGAA
rnacentral:tRNA from 1 species